AGAGUUUGAUCAUGGCUCAGAACGAACGCUGGCGGCAGGCUUAACACAUGCAAGUCGAACGCACCGCAAGGUGAGUGGCAGACGGGUGAGUAACGCGUGGGAACGUGCCCUUCAGUUCGGGAUAACCCAGGGAAACUUGGGCUAAUACCGGAUACGUGCGAGAGCAGAAAGAUUUAUCGCUGAAGGAUCGGCCCCGCGUCUGAUUAGCUAGUUGGGGGGGUAAUGGCCCACCAAGGCGACGAUCAGUAGCUGGUCUGAGAGGAUGAUCAGCCNNCAUUGGGACUGAGACACGCCCAAACUCUACGGGGAGGCAGCAGUGGGGAAUAUUGGACAAUGGGCGCAAGCCUGAUCCAGCCCAUGCCGCGUGAGUGAUGAAGCCUUAGGGGUUGUAAAGCUCUUUCGUCCGGGACGAUAAUGACGGUACCGGAAGAAGAAGCCCCGGCUAACUUCGUGCCAGCAGCCGCGGUAAUACGAAGGGGGCUAGCGUUGUUCGGAAUCACUGGGCGUAAAGGGCGCGUAGGCGGCCUGAUAAGUCGGGGGUGAAAGCCUGUGGCUCAACCACAGAAUUGCCUUCGAUACUGUCGGGCUUGAGACCGGAAGAGGUAAGUGGAACUGCGAGUGUAGAGGUGAAAUUCGUAGAUAUUCGCAAGAACACCAGUGGCGAAGGCGGCUUACUGGUCCGGUUCUGACGCUGAGGCGCGAAAGCGUGGGGAGCAAACAGGAUUAGAUACCCUAGUAGUCC
rnacentral:rRNA from 1 species